rnacentral:rRNA from 3 species
GGGACACGUGGUAUCCUGUCUGAAUAUGGGGGGACCAUCCUCCAAGGCUAAAUACUCCUGACUGACCGAUAGUGAACCAGUACCGUGAGGGAAAGGCGAAAAGAACCCCGGCGAGGGGAGUGAAAAAGAACCUGAAACCGUGUACGUACAAGCAGUGGGAGCCUCUUUUAUGGGGUGACUGCGUACCUUUUGUAUAAUGGGUCAGCGACUUAUAUUCUGUAGCAAGGUUAACCGAAUAGGGGAGCCGAAGGGAAACCGAGUCUUAACUGGGCGUUAAGUUGCAGGGUAUAGACCCGAAACCCGGUGAUCUAGCCAUGGGCAGGUUGAAGGUUGGGUAACACUAACUGGAGGACCGAACCGACUAAUGUUGAAAAAUUAGCGGAUGACUUGUGGCUGGGGGUGAAAGGCCAAUCAAACCGGGAGAUAGCUGGUUCUCCCCGAAAGCU